CACUUUCGAAGUGAAAGAACAACCAAACCAUUGUCCCUUUAAUCAAUCCAUCCAUACAUUCAAUGGCGAAACUAUCUCUUGUAGUAGUUAUCAGUUUCUUCAUCACCACUCUCAUCUCCUUUUGCUAUGCUUCAUCAUAUGAUCGUGCUUUUGUUUUAGAGGGUAAUUCUUUGUUCACGGAAGUAGGUGAAUUGCCGACUCUCCAAAGAAGUAAAGUUUACAACUUCGAAGUCUACUGGCACGAAUCCUUCAUUCCUCCCAAUGCAUCAUCGAUAGUUAUUGGCGGAGCCGACCUUAGUCAGAUCGAUCCUAGAGGAUUCGGCACUGCCUAUGCUUUCGAUUGCCCACUGACAAUUAAGCCUAAGGUGCCUACAUCACCGGAUGAUGUUAUUGGGAACGCGCAAGGAUAUUAUAUUCUUUCUGCAAGGGAGGAGGUUGGACUUGCCGUAACGAUGAACAUGCAUUUCAAAGGGGAUUCAGAGAAAAAAAAUGUUUUGAGUUUUCAAGGAAGAGUUCAAUCGUCCGGAAACAUAAGAGAAGUCCCCAUCAUCGGAGGAAGUGGAAAGUUCAGGGGUGCUACUGGAUAUUACAAAUCCCGAAUGGUUUCAUCUGAUCCUAAAACCCAUCAAAAUAUUGUCUUGUUCAAUGUUAUGAUGAAAAUACCUUCUAAAACCACCAUUAAUCCACUUUUUGAAUCCAUGUAAUAUGAUGAAAACCAUAUCUAUCUAUCUAUCUAUCUAUAAUUCUAUAUAUGUAAGAGGGAUAAAAUAAAUAAAUUUAGCUUUAAUUUCCCCUUGUAAUAUCUUUUCUCAAUAAAUAAACUUUCAAGAGUAUUAUAAAGAUUACAUUGAUGCUUUAAGCCUUCAACUAAUUAGAAUUAACCUAUCUACUGUCUUCUAUCGAAAUUUAGUUAAUAACUAACUGUUCUUUUCGAUCUUCAACUUAAUCUCCAUCUUCGUCUACUUCCGUUUCUUCUUCUUCUUCUUCUUCUUCUCAUUCUUGUCUCAAUCGCUAAUCGACGAGAGUCGAUCUAUAAUUAAAUACAGACACUUACUAAACUCUCUACAGAUUGUAUAUUUAUAUUUCUAAAACAAAUCAUAAUUUUCUUGAUUUCAUUUAUUAAUUUAUGAGAAUUAUAAAAGAAAAUUAAAAGACAAUCAUUGAAGAACAGUGAAUCCAAAUCUCCAUUCAUAGAGAGUAUAAGUUUUCAUCUCUGUAUUAAUACAUCUCUUGGAUCCUUAUUAUUUUUUAUAAGGUAAGUGAUCAGUCAGCUUCACCUGCCACCUGUUAGAAUUGUUGCCUCACAACCACUUGUUUUCUCUAAAUAAUUAAUCAUUCACGUGUUUUAAUGCAUGAUUUAAAUUUCGAAAGGAUAAGAUGACCGACAUGUAGAGAAAUAAGACGAAACUAUUAAUUGAGUUAGGUUUGGAAUCGGCUAUUUGCCAGUUGUGAGUCUCAUUUAUCUAUAAAAACAAGCCUACGGUAUUCUGAGGUUCAAGUACAUCUAAACCAUUGCCCCUUUAAUCAAUCCAUCCAUACAUUCAAUGGCGAAACUAUCUCUUGUAGUAGUAAUUAUCAGCUUCCUCAUCACCAUUCUCAUCUCUUUUUGCUACGUAUAAGAUGGUGAGGAUGAUAACCAAAUUGUAUUACUUUGUAUAUCGUUUGAUCAUGUAUUUAUACUAUUAUUUCUAACCGUUAUUAGUUAUAUAACUAAUAUUAUUCUCUAAUACACCCCCUUCCUGGAGGCCCACCGGAGCUUCGCGACGAGCUUUUCUUGUAGUAUAGAGAAGCUUCUAGGCGGUAGUGCUUUAGUCAAAAUAUCUGUCCAUUGUUCACGCCCGGGAACAUGCUUUACGAUGAUGUCUCCGUUUUCUACCUUUUCGCGGACGAAGUGGAGGUCAAGCGCUACAUGUUUGAGCUUUAUAUGUCCAAUCGGAUUCUUCAUGAUGAAGGUAGCUCCUAGGUUGUCUGAUAGAAUUGCCAUAUGUCGUGGUACUUCUACUCCCAACUCAAUCAGUGCUGAGCGAACUGCUUCUAUUUCUUGGGUCGUAGUAGCUAUUGUACGAUAUUCGGCCUCCGUGCUCGAUCGAGCUAGCGCGCUUUGUUUUCGGGAUGCCCAUGACACUAGUGUUCCUUCGACGUAUACUAGAAAACCCGUACGACUUUUGCGAUCGGUUGUGUCACCUCCCCAAUCGGCGUCACAGUAUGCCGUGAUCCCGAAGUUGUUUAUUUUUCGUAGUGCAAUGCCGUGUUUUUGAGUUCCAAGUAAGUAACCCAGAAUGCGUUUUACUGCUAUCCAAUGAACCAUUUUUGGUUCGGCCAUAAAUUGAGCGAGUCGAUUCACCGCGACUUGAACAUCCGGCCUUGUUAGGGUGAUGUACUGUAGUGAUCCUAUGAUCCGUCGAAAUUCACUUGGGUCAUCAAUGAUCGGUCCUUCUGAGUGAAGUUCGAUGUUUUCGAGCAUCGGAGUGGAGACUGCUUUUAGUUCCCCUAUGUUGCAAUUUUGGAGAAGAUUUAGAAGAUACCGGGUUUGAGAUAAAUGUAACCCAUCUUUGACUCUUUUGACCUGAAUGCCGAGGAAAUAAUCGAGAGUACCCAGGUUACGUAUGGGAAAUUCAGCGCCCAAUCUGUUUAUUACUUUCUUGACUUCUUCCUCAUUUGAUCCUACUAUUACGAUAUCGUCGACGUAGACGAAUAGGAAUAUCGUAAUUGAUGCUUUUCGAUAAAUGAAAAGUGAAUGAUCUAAAGAAGUAAUUAACACAUAAUUACUGAAUUGGACUUAAUUGAGAAUAAGUAAAACAGAGAUACUUACAGUUUUAACUAAGAAAGAAACUGUAAGGUUCAAUGUGCAAUCUUUACCACUUAAAAACAAAACACUCUAGGAACCACAGAACAAACUAUAGAACAUCCUGGAUUUCAUAAAAAUCAAAACAGGAUUGCUCUGGACAAGUCAGAAAUAACUGAAAAUAAUCAGUCUGACCAGUCCUCAACUGAAAAAGAAAAAUCACAUAUUUCAGAGGAUUUUGAAAACAAUUACUCUAAUAAGAAUCAAAACCAACUCCUCAUCAAUAAUCAAGAAAAAAAGGCAUAUACUGAAAAACAAAGCUCAGAACAAAGCUUUGCAACCAAUCAUGAAGAAAAGGAACAAUUACCUCAAAAUAAUGAUACACAAAGCAAGACUGAAACAAAUAAAAUUGUAAAAACAAGGUUGGGGAGGGUAGUAACUAAACCCAAGCAUUUUGAUGAAUUCUAUAUGGAUGAUAAAUCAAAAAGCAAAAUUAAAUACCCCAUGAGCAACUAUGUAUCAUAUCAUAGGAUAAAUCCCAAACACAAGGAAUUUCUCAAACAAGUUAAUAACAAUAUAGAACCCAACACAUAUAAUGAAGCAUCUAAAGAUCCAAAAUGGAUAGAUGCAAUGAAAAAUGAGAUGGAAGCCCUCAUCUCAAAUAAAACUUGGGAUAUAACUGAACUUCCUAAAGGAAGGAAAGCAGUAGGCUCUAAAUGGAUAUACAAAAUCAAGUAUAAGCCAAAUGGAGAAAUUGAGAGAUAUAAAGCAAGGCUAGUAGCAAAAGGUUUCUCUCAAAAAGAGGGAUUUGAUUUCUAUGAAACUUUUGCACCAGUUGCAAAAAUGACCACAGUAAGACUAUUAAUUGCUCUUGCAACACAAAAAAGAUGGAAUCUAUAUCAAAUAGAUGUCAAUAAUGCCUUCCUACAUGGUGAUCUCCAUGAGGAAGUAUAUCUAAAGGCACCUCAAGGAUUACUCCAAGAAGGAGAUAAAAGAGUAUGUAAACUCAAAAAAUCCUUAUAUGGCCUCAAACAGGCCUCUAGAAACUGGUUUGAGAAACUGAGAAACACUCUAUUAGAGAUUGGAUUCUCUCAAACAAAAUCAGAUUACUCUCUAUUCAUAAGAGAGAAAAAUGAAAAUUUAAUAUACCUAAUUGUCUAUGUAGAUGAUAUAAUCAUCACAGGCAGUAAUGAGCUAGAAAUAGCAUUCCUCAAAAUUCAACUAGAAAAUAAAUUUAAACUAAAGGAUCUUGGAAAACUAAACUACUUUCUAGGAAUAGAAGUAUUAUAUUCCAGUGAAGGAACCUUAUUAACACAAAGAAAAUAUGCACUAGAAAUACUUAAGGAAAGUGGCAUCUUAGGUGCAAAAGAGUCCAAAAUACCCAUUGAGAAAAAUAUAGAUCUCAAAAGUGAAUCCAAACCAAUAAAAGAUCCAACCUUCUAUAGGAAGUUAGUGGGAAAGCUAAUAUAUCUUAACAUCACCAGACCUGACCUAAGCUAUGCAGUACACUGGCUAAGUCAAUUCAUGAGUGAUCCAAGAGAAAUUCAUUUAAAAACACUCUUUAAAGUACUGAGAUAUUUAAAAGGAGCCCCAGGGCAGGGCAUUCUAUAUAAAACAAGUGAAAACUUGAACAUCCAAGCCUAUUGUGAUUCUGACUGGGCUGGAUGCCAAAUUAGCAGAAAAUCUGUAACUGGGUUUUGCAUCCUAAUUGGAAGCUCCAUAAUAUCUUGGAAAUCCAAAAAGCAAGCUACAAUAUCAAGAUCAUCUUGUGAAGCUGAGUAUAGAGCAAUAGCUCAAACAUCUUGUGAAUUAGUAUGGAUUCACCAACUAAUUAAGGAAAUGAAAAUAAAAACUAGAAAUGAAACAACAAUAUUUUGUGAUAACAAAUCAGCAAUUCAUCUUGCUAAUAACCCUGUUUUCCAUGAGAGAACAAAGCAUAUAGAAAUAGAUUACCAUUUUGUUAGAGAAUUAAUCACCCAAGGGGUAUUCAAUCUUAAGCAAAUUGGAACCAAAUAUCAAUUAGCAGACAUGUUCACUAAACCCAUGGGGGAACAUGAAAUUACUUCAGCCUCUGUCAAGCUUGGAGUAAUAAAUAUCUACUCCAGAGCUUGAGGGGGGAGUAAAGAAGUAAUUCACAUAAUUACUGAAUUGGACUUAAUUGAGAAUAAGUAAAACAGAGAUACUUACAGUUUUAACUAAGAAAGAAACUGUAAGGUUCAAUGUGCAAUCUUUACCACUUAAAAACAAAUAACAAAAUAAAAAGGAACGUGAGGACUGGACUGCAAGUUUACCCACUUAAAGGCCAUCAAAGAUUAUACAAAAGAACGAGGACUAAAACUGCAAGUUUACCCACUUAACAGAAUAAAAGAAAUACAAGGACUGGACUGCAAGUUUACCCACUUAAAGGCCGUAAAAGAAUAUAGAAGAGUACGAGGAUCAAACUGCAAGUUUACCCACUUAAAUAAAAGUAAUUGGGUAAUUGGGUAUUUCGAUCAAUGUCUGAUUAAAGAUCCAAUUAACCGAUUAAUGUUAUUAGUUGUAUUAGUUAAGUUAGUUAGUGUUAAUUUCAGUUUAAAUAACUCUUGUAAUUAACAAGUUUAAGAUAUAUGAUUUUACACAGAUUACACACUUAGUAGCUAAUUACACUUCUACAGUGUAUAACGGCUACUUUGGUAGUUAAUCUAAUUAACCUACUUCUUUCCCUCUUUCUCAUUCUAUUUCUCGCCGGACGGCGAGCUUUGUCGCCGGAGUCGUCUCCCAUCUCCCAAUCCCGCCGUUGGAUCAACGUCAGCUUUUUAACAUGAUCGACGGCGGAUUCUUUGAAUGAUAGUGUUCCCAAGAACCCACUUAGUUUCUUUACCAACAUCUCGGUGAUUGUUUGAGCCCGUAUAAUGACUUGUGAAGGAGGCAGACUUGAUCUGGAUGUUGAUUAUCGAUGAACCCGUAUGGUUGUGCUACCACAAUCCUUUCUUUGAGACUUCCGUGUAAAAAGGCAUUUGAUACGUCGACUUGAUGAAGGUUCCACCCUUUGGAUAUAGCCAAGAGUAACACUAGUCGAAUCGAUAAUGGACGAACCACCGGGUUGAACGUAUCAAAAUAGUCUGUGCCGUGAAUCUGUCGUAGCUCAUUUACUACGAGACGUGCCUUGAAGUGCACUACCCCGCCGUUCGCUUUUGAUUUAACCUUGAAUACCCAUUUGGUGUUGAUUAUGUUAUCUUCUGGUCGACGUGAAACCAGGAUCCAGGUACCAUUUUCUUGGAGUGCGUUGAAUUCUUUGGUCAUAGCAUCCUUCCAUUGGGGAAUAAGCAUGGCUGAUUUUGCCGAUUUUGGAGUUGAGACCUCCGACGCUGUUGUAGCCAAGGCAAACUUUGGGUUGAGUAUAAUGAUCCCAACCGAGCUUCUGGUAACCAUUGUUGUUGUUCGUGCCGGGAUCUCGUUGCCUGCCGAUUCGGUACUUGCUAGAUCGUUAGAUUCUUCUAUCGACGGGAUCUGGUUCGCUAAUUCCGUCUCGUUUGACCAUGCAUCGAUUGGCUGAAUUGACUCGGUUGCUUCACUCGGAUGGCUUGACUUGGUUGAAUAAGUCGGAUUUCUUGAUUCGGUUGAGUCGGGUACCGUAGUUGUCGAAGCCGGAAUGGGAUUGAUCGGAUUAAUUGGGCUCGUAACCGGUAAUAUCCCCAAUUCUGUUUGUUUGGGUUGAGUGUUAAUGUUAUUUCUUUCCCCAAACAGUUCUUUAUUUAAAGAAAAUUGUUCUUCAUCAAACUUGACGUCGCGAGAGGCAUAAAUUCUCCGGUUGGUUGGUUUAAAACACAGGUAGCAGUCUUGAUUCAUAGAAUACCCGACAAAUAUACAUUCGGAAGAUUUGGCCUCCAGUUUGUUCUUUCGAUAGGGUCGAAGACACGGGUAACACCUGCUUCCGAAUACACGAAGUUUUGAAUAUUCCGGAGUUUUGUUUAACAAUGCUUCCAUCGAAGAUUUCCCGGCUAAUAGAAGUGUCGGAUUCCUGUUGUAUAAAUAGCAAGCUGUUAACACCCCAUAGUCCCAAAAUUGGUUCGGUAAAUUUGCGUGGCGUAGCAUUGUAACUGUUGUAUCAAAUAUGUGCUUGUGUCUUCUCUCUACUCGACCCAUCUGUUGGUGUGAGUACGGGGCUGACAUACGGUGUGAAAUGCCCAACUCUUCCAACUUUUUUCCUAACUUUCGGUACUCCAUUGCAUUAUCUGUUUGUACGGCUAAGAUUUUGCUUUCACAGUGUCUUUCUGCCCAAGUUCGAAAAUUUUCAAAUACUUGAUAAAGAUCGGAUUUUCGUACCACCGGGUAUACCCAAUUAAAGUGUGUGCAGGCGUCUACAAAAUUUAUAUAAUAAGAGUACCCUUCUACAGAAAUUGUGAGGGCCGGUCCCCAAAUAUCUGAAAAUAUCAGUUCAAGUGGCUUGUAUACCGUUGUCCAAUAUGGAUGAGGAAGAGAAUGUGAUUUGCCAAGCUGACAAGAAUUACACAGUUUAUACGUUUUAACACUAGAUUUUAUUAAACCUUGUUUUUCUAAUACACUCAUAUAUGCAGAAUUUAAAUGGCCCAGGCGACAAUGCCAUAGAUAGUGCGCCGGUGGGUUAUUUUCGCAAACAUUCACAGAAUUUGUGGCCGGUUUGAUGACAAUCGGCAACUCGUACAAUCCUCUAUUUGCCGCUCCUUCCAGCAAUACCGUCUUAGUAGCCGAAUCCUUUACCCGUACCUUCUGUGAAUCAAAUUCAAUGGAGACAUUGUUAUCAAUACAAAAUCUGUUCACCGACAAUAAAUUUCUAGUAGCCGUAGGAACUAGUAGUAAAUCAUUAAGAACAAAAUUAUUAAAAUCUGUAAUAGCUCUGCUUUGACCAGAACAAGAAAUUGACAAUGAGCUUCCAUCCGCCGUAAAAAUUUUACCAUUAUAUGCUCUGGGGUAUUGGAUAUUUUCAGGUGCGGCCGUAACAUGUGAUGUCGCCCCUGAAUCUCGGUACCACCUUAUUGUUGGACCUUCUGCAGAAAUUAGAUUAGCCGAGGGUGUGUUUCUAAAAUUCCCAGUUGUGGCAAGUGAAGGUGUAUUAUUAAAAGUUGAGGGUGUAUUAUUAAAAUUUCCAUUUAUUCCAGAAGACGAUAAUGCCCUCCCAUGAGCCGCCGGAAAUCGUUCUAGGUUUAAACGAUUAUAGCAAUCCGGCGCGAUGUGUCCCUUUUUCGAGCAUAUCUGGCAGCGAAGAUCUCCCCUUUGUGAUUUUUGCCCACCGUCGUAGGUGUUCUGGUGGCGGCGUUCUUGCUGCGGCGGCUGCGACGUUUUGGCGACGACGGCAGCAACAUUUCCGGCGACGGCAACAACGACAUUCGCCCGCGAUUUCUCCAAUCAAAGGUUGUGGUCCAUCAGCAUCUCGCAUACUCCGGUGAAUGUUAGGUCUGAAUUGAAUGGUGUGGUGAUAGCUGUUGCAAAAGAUUCAAAUUCAUCCCCCAAUCCUCCCAAGGUGAUUAGCACGAUUUCUGAUUCUUUAAGUCCCUCUCCUGUUGAUUUGAGAGCAUCUUUUAAAAUUGAAAUCUUGGACAAGUACUCUUCAAUGCUUAAUCCUCCCUUUCGAAUCGAUUGGAGUUGAAGACGAAUAUGAAGUUGCCUUGCUUGUGUUCCCGAUGAGAAGAGUUUGCGUAGUGCAUCCCAAACCUCUGCCGAUGUCUUCCGAGAUGCCACUUGCGGAAGAAUGGUCGUUGAGAUCCCGGUCAAGAUCCAGCUCAAAAUCAACUGAUCUUGCUGGAUCGAUGAUGGCGACGAAAGUUCAACCUUGCCAAGAACGUAAUCGAAGAGUUGAAACCCCCUAAGCAUGGCCGAAAAUUGUGUCUCCCAUGAGUAGUAAUUACUCUUAUCAAGUUGGACGCAUUUCAUUGGCUUCAUCGCUAUCCUUGAUGAUGGAGCAUUUGCGCCUGAAUCUGCAGCGGAAAACGUCAUCCUUGACUCUAAACCCGAAAAAUUGAUACCAUAUAAGAUGGUGAGGAUGAUAACCAAAUUGUAUUACUUUGUAUAUCGUUUGAUCAUGUAUUUAUACUAUUAUUUCUAACCGUUAUUAGUUAUAUAACUAACUAAUAUUAUUCUCUAAUACUAUGCUUCAUCAUAUGAUCGUGCUUUUGUUUUAGAGGGUAAUUCUUUGUUCACAGAAGUAGGUGAAUUGCCGACUCUCCAAAGAAGUAAAGUUUACAACUUCAAAGUCUACUGGCACGAAUCCUUCAUUCCUCCCAAUGCAUCAUCGAUAGUUAUUGGCGGA
rnacentral:lncRNA from 1 species